UACGGGGGGAGCAAGCGUUGUUCGGAAUCACUGGGCGUAAAGGGCGUGUAGGCGGUCAGGUAAGUGGGAUGUGAAAUGCCCCGGCUCACCCGGGGACCGGCAUCCCAUACUGCUUGGCUUGAGUACGGGAGAGGAUGUGGGAAUUCCUGGUGUAGCGGUGAAAUGCGUAGAUAUCAGGAGGAACACCGGUGGCGAAGGCGCACAUCUGGCCCGAUACUGACGCUGAGGCGCGAAAGCUAGGGGAGCGAACAGG
rnacentral:rRNA from 1 species